GUUUUUAGAACACCUUUUAUUGAUUAAGCAGUUAACAGCUUCAAGCUGUAAUUAUUAAUAGCGGGUAUCAGCUCUCACAAUAUAUUUACCUAUUUCUGCAGCCAGACAGACACAUGCACAGUCAUUCACAGCUGCCUGGUUGCAGCUGGGAUCCCAAUACCAGCUGGAUACUUGAAAGCAGAGGAUCAGACCAUCAUCAUGCCAAUGGCUUUGCAAGUCCGUAAAGAGCGAUCACAGACGCUGCCCAACCUUUCCAGCAUGUGAGAAGAGUGGAUCUUUUUUUGCUUCAGUGUAUCAUGCUGAGGAGGAACAGUCAUUCCACAUGUUUUUCCUUCCUCUUGAACACUGAGGUUUUGACUGUACUGGCUGCCAACAGAGCUGAGCAAUAUUUUAAUGGGGAAAAGGAAUUGUACUGUGAGAAAGUAUUAAGAUGCUACUUGCAACAGGGCAAAGAAGAUGUGGCGAGUGCCUGCAGGUUGUCCAGUGCUGAAAGACGCGUGAGCUCCAAAUGCACCGCGCUGCCGUGAGAGACCUCCCUGCUUGGGGGUUCAGGGCACAGGGAUUUACAUCGUGGUUCUUCUGAAUGUCUCUCUCUUCUGGUUGGUGCUUCACAUACAACGUAAAGGCCGGUGUAAAUGAUUUAAAACUGAAAUUUACGCACAGCUAAGCAUGAGUCUUGUUAUGUGCGUGUAUCUCUUAUGCUCACUGCUGCUGCUUACCCUGUCCAGCAUUCAACCACAAGGCCCCGUGCACUUCUUCCUUGUUUCUGCUGCUGCUUCCCAUGCAUUUACCCGUAGAACAAAGGCUUUCAUUUGUUUUGUUUCUGCUAUCCAUGCUGAGUGGUCUAUAGCUCCGUGCCUAAGCUCACUUUUUUCUUGACUGAUAAUGACUGAUAGAGCGAGAAUAACAAUGGCACAGUUUAUGUGUCCUGACAGCCUCCACUUCUGCUAGGGCUGCCCAGAGGGACUGGCAGAAGUGUUAGCUCUGUGAAGGAAUUCAGAUCCCUAGCAGUGGAGUGAGAAGCCAAGUGGCACUUUAAAACUGCUAUAGUCCAAAUACCUUUUAAAAAAACAGUAAGCCCAGAGUGUUCUGUUGACUUUCUAUCAUACAGUAAUUUGAGGAGAAAUACUUUUUUUUUUGUUCUGCACAGAUGGUAUAACUUUGGCAUCUGAACUAUGAUAUUGUUAAAUACAAGUGUACAUAGUUCCACUUGUUUCAAAUGUUUGAAAAUUAUAUAGAAGACCAUAUAUUUUGAUGAAUAUGCUACUUAAUUCUAUAGUGCUUUAAUAAGGUUAUUCCUAUUAUUGCACUACUGUCAUUUAAGCACAUUUUUUUCCCUUAGUAUGUUCCCUAUGCUUUUUUAUUCUUAAAAUGAAUGUAAAGAUGACCGAUUAGAAAGAAUGUCUUGUGGAAUUAGUUACUCUAUUAAACAUAACGAACUCUUAAUGCCAGAUUUUCAAGCUGUAUAGCAGUGUGUCUUCACUGAGAUCAAGGAACUUGUGCCAGCUACAGAAAAUCUGGAUGUAA
rnacentral:lncRNA from 1 species